rnacentral:rRNA from 1 species
AGAGUUUGAUCCUGGCUCAGGACGAACGCUGGCGGCGUGCUUAACACAUGCAAGUCGAACGAGACGAUUGAAAGCUUGCUUUUGAAAGUCGAGUGGCAAACGGGUGAGUAACGCGUAGACAACCUGCCGUAAAGAUGGGGACAACAGUCCGAAAGGACUGCUAAUACCGAAUGUUGUGGAACUUCCGCAUGGGGGCUCCACUAAAGAUGGCCUCUACUUGUAAGCUAUCGCUUUACGAUGGGUCUGCGUCUGAUUAGCUAGUUGGNGGGGUAACGGCUUACCAAGGCGACGAUCAGUAGCCGGUCUGAGAGGAUGAACGGCCACNUUGGAACUGANAACNCGGUCCANACNCCUACGGGAGGCANNGNGGGGAAUCUUCCCNAUGGGNGCAAGCCUGACGANCNCCNCCC